rnacentral:rRNA from 1 species
AAACUUUACAAUGCUGGAAACAGCGAUAGGGGGACCUUGAGUGCCAGGAUACAAUUCUGGCUGUCGUCGUGCCUAAAAAGCACGGCAUAGCAAGGGCCGGGCAAGACCGGUGCCAGCCGCCGCGGUAACACCGGCGGCUCGAGUGGUAACCGUUAUUAUUGGGUCUAAAGGGUCUGUAGCCGGCCGGAUAAGUCUCUUGGGAAAUCUGGCAGCUUAACUGUCAGGCUUUCAGGGGAUACUGUCUGGCUCGAGGCCGGGAGAGGUGAGAGGUACUUCAGGGGUAGGGGUGAAAUCUUGUAAUCCUUGAAGGACCACCAGUGGCGAAGGCGUCUCACCAGAACGGACCUGACGGCAAGGGACGAAAGCUAGGGGCACGAACCGG